GACGAACGCUGGCGGCGUGCUUAACACAUGCAAGUCGAGCGAUGAAGUUCCUUCGGGAAUGGAUUAGCGGCGGACGGGUGAGUAACACGUGGGUAACCUGCCUCAUAGAGGGGAAUAGCCUUCCGAGAGGAAGAUUAAUACCGCAUAAGAUUGUAGUGCCGCAUGGCAUAGCAAUUAAAGGAGCAAUCCGCUAUGAGAUGGACCCGCGUCGCAUUAGCUAGUUGGUGAGGUAACGGCUCACCAAGGCGACGAUGCGUAGCCGACCUGAGAGGGUUAGCGGCAACAUUGGGACUGAGACACGGCCCCGACUCCUACGGGAGGCAGCAGUGGGGAAUAUUGCACAAUGGGGGAAACCCUGAUGCAGCAACGCCGCGUGAGUGAUGACGGUCUUCGGAUUGUAAAACUCUGUCUUCAGGGACGAUAAUGACGGUACCUGGGGAGGAAGCCACGGCUAACUACGUGCCAGCCGCCGCCGUAA
rnacentral:rRNA from 1 species